rnacentral:rRNA from 1 species
AGGACGAACGCUGGCGGCGUGCUUAACACAUGCAAGUGGAGCGACGAACCGGGGCUUGCCCCGGGGCAGAGCCGCGAACGGGUGAGUAACACGUGGGUUACCUGCCCCAAUGACCGGGACAACCCGAGGAAACUCGGGCUAAUACCGGAUGUGGUCUUCGGACGAAAGGAAGCUUCGGCCUCCGCAUUGGGAUGGGCCCGCGGCGCAUUAGCUAGUUGGUGGGGUAACGGCCUACCAAGGCGACGAUGCGUAGCUGGUCUGAGAGGACGAUCAGCCACACUGGGACUGAGACACGGCCCAGACUCCUACGGGAGGCAGCAGUGGGAAUCUUGCGCAAUGCGCGAAAGCGUGACGCAGCAACGCCGCGUGGGGGAAGAGGCCUUCGGGUUGUAAACCUCUUUCAGUUGGGACGAAGGCCUCGCGGUUAAUAGCCGUGGGGUUGACGGUACCUUCAGAAGAAGCCCGGCUAACUACGUGCCAGCAGCCGC